AUGCUCCAGAUACGCCUGAGCAAGAUCGGCUCGUCGGACUCCGGGGCCGCGGCCUCUGGCGCGGCGGCUGGGGCGUCCGGUGGCGCCCCGGCGAAGUCCGCCGCCGCGGCGGCUGGCGGCGCCCCGGAAUCGGUGACUGUCGCUUGCCCCGACCACCUGGUCAUCGCAGACCUCGCUGUGGCGAAGAGCCUCGGCGCCGUCACAAACUCCGCCAUCGCUGCGACGCGCGCCAUCGGCCGCCGCUCCCGCCGCCCCCUCGGCGAGCGCGUCCACAUCUGCUCCCGCUGCGAGUUCCCCAUCGCCAUUUACGGCCGCCUCAUUCCUUGCGAACAUGCUUUCUGUUUAGCCUGUGCAAGAAGUGAUUCCAGCUGCUAUCUUUGUGAUGAGCGCAUUCAGAAGAUUCAGACUGUGAAAAUGAUGGAAGGGAUUUUUAUCUGCGCUGCACCUAUGUGCCUCAAGUCUUUCCUUAAGAAAGCUGAAUUUAUGUCUCAUGUACCUGAAGCUCAUGCAAAUCUCCUCCAAACUAACACGGAGAAGGAAGAACGUAAUGAACCAGAUGCUCCUAACAUCUCCCGUGCUUCUGGAGGAGAUGCUCAAAGGCAAUCUCAAAUGCCUGAGAUAUCUACCGCACGUGCUCCUCCAAGGCGGGGUGUUUCACCCACUUCAAGUUCUCACAUGCAAGAGCGUGAAGACCGAUCUCGGUAUCACCAGUCCAGGGAGAGGGAGCACACCCCACUAAGGCCCCCUAUGCUAAGCAAACCGCCAUCAUUCCAUGGUCGCCACUAUCCACCAGGUGAUACUCAGUCCGAAAACAACACACCUCAAGGAUUUGACCGUCCCUACAGCUGGGCCCAUGAUGGUACACCUGGUGCAACUCCACUUCGCCAAGAACCUGACCAUGGUACUCAAGACAAGCAGCAAGUGAUGCCUAAUUCACCUUUCAUGUUCUCUCCAAUGCAUCCUCAUCAGCAAAACUUCAUGAUGCAUAUGAAUAUGAAUCAGCCUUUAAUCCCCAACUCAUCAUUCAGCUACCCUGUCCAACAAGAUGGGAAUCCGCAGUACUUCAGUGCUCCUUUCCAGAUGCAACUGCAAGAUGCCGGAUCAGAUCAAGGUUCAGCGUCGGUGCCUGAGGGGCUUCAGCGCCCAUGGGGCAUGGGGUUGAUGGGCAAUCCAUCUCAGGGAGGUGGCGGCAUGGCCUUCAUGCCAGCUGGUUUCGGGAUGAUGCCAGACAGCUCGAUGAAUCCAGGCAUGCAAGGUAGGGAUUUUCAAGGCCAAGCUGAUCGUGGCGACGGAAGGGGCAUCCAAGAACAGUUACCUAUGGUGAUGCAAAUGCAGAUGUCGCUCCCCCCACCCCCCCCUACACAACCCCCGUCUGCUGGACAGCAGUCUUUCAACAGAACUUGA
rnacentral:rRNA from 1 species